AUAUGCUUAUAAUAUGCCAAUGAAUUCUUCUGAUAUGGACAUGGUAUAAAUUUUGUUAAACAGAUGUCUCGAAAGCGACUGUUUAUAGGUCGUAGGAUUAGCGCCUUGCCGGUCUUAAACGUGACACAUUUGGACACAAGCCAAAUACACAUUGUGAAUGUCCAUUCUAUUGAUUCUAAAACUGUUUAUAGACAUAUUGCUCUAGAUUUUUUUUAAAUGGCUAUCAUCGUUUAUAUUAAACACCAGGAAGACAAAAUAUAACGUACAAAAUUGUUUGAAAUCGACAGUGCACAGCUGUCAUACGACAAUUCAUAACUGCAAGAAUUUCCUUUUUUGUCUGCACGAGUACCUGUUUGUUGAAGCCAAAAUAUUGCACAGCAUCUCCUAUAAAUUCUAUCGCGAUUUACCCUCUCCCCUUAAAUGCAAAGGAAUGACAGCCGAAAAGGUUUAGCAAAGUAUUUUUUAUUAUAUCUGGUAUAAAGUGUCCUACGUUUUAUCAGGGAUAUACAUAAUUCAUAAACUGUAUAUGCACACGAAGUCUCGCUUAUAUUAAUGAGUUUUACUGUAGCAAACCUUUUAAAGUUUCCAUUGAUAGAUAGGUUGUUUGCCUCCAGUAUUGUUUGGUAAAACAGACUAAACUUCUAAAAUGACGAUUCCAGUAUACGAUAAAGAUUAAAGUUGAUUUAAAUAUUGAUAACUCACAGCGGCAUUAAUCCAUUAUGCAAGUCUAAAGAAGCUGGAUUAUUCUUCAAUAAAGCCCUCAAUGGACAAUGCCAAUGUCAAUGAAAGGUCUAAUAUUAUACAUGUUGCAAAUUACUGUAUAUACAAAAUAUGAAAUAAUUUAUAUAAAGUACAAUACCAGUGUCUGGUGCAUAUAUCGUCCUAGAUAUUCAAGUUGUACCGCACGCACGGAAACGCACAGAGGAGUCUUGGCGUUUGUGUGAUAACAGAUAGCUAGCUACACUUCGACAUUAUCUUUCUUGAUCGUUGAGUUUCAGCAAUGUAAAUGAAAUGAAUUUUAUAGCCAGUCCAUAACGGGUUUUAAUCCUGUGCUUUUACAGUCAGAAUAGCACUAUUAUUUACACAUGCAUGUUGGCGAUGUUUGGGAAAUCAAAGACAAAGGAUCCCGUUAUAAAAUAAAUCUUUUGUUUUGAAUAUCGGACAGGAUACACUUCAACUAUAAAGAACCAUAUCGUUCGUUUAAUACCGUUUGAUCGAUCAGUCUGUGUAGAAGAUAUGUAUGUUUCUA